rnacentral:rRNA from 1 species
AUGGGAUUAGCUUGUUGGUGGGGUAACGGCUCACCAAGGCGACGAUCCCUAGCUGGUCUGAGAGGAUGACCAGCCACACUGGAACUGAGACACGGUCCAGACUCCUACGGGAGGCAGCAGUGGGGAAUAUUGCACAAUGGGCGCAAGCCUGAUGCAGCCAUGCCGCGUGUAUGAAGAAGGCCUUCGGGUUGUAAAGUACUUUCAGCGGGGAGGAAGGGAGUAAAGUUAAUACCUUUGCUCAUUGACGUUAUCCGCAGAAGAAGCACCGGCUAACUCCGUGCCAGCAGCCGCGGUAAUACGGAGGGUGCAAGCGUUAAUCGGAAUUACUGGGCGUAAAGCGCACGCAGGCGGUUUGUUAAGUCAGAUGUGAAAUCCCCGGGCUCAACCUGGGAACUGCAUCUGAUACUGGCAAGCUUGAGUCUCGUAGAGGGGGGUAGAAUUCCAGGUGUAGCGGUGAAAUGCGUAGAGAUCUGGAGGAAUACCGGUGGCGAAGGCGGCCCCCUGGACGAAGACUGACGCUCAGGUGCGAAAGCGUGGGGAGCAAACAGGAUUAGAUACCCUGGUAGUCCACGCCGUAAACGAUGUCGACUUGGAGGUUGUGCCCUUGAGGCGUGGCUUCCGGAGCUAACGCGUUAAGUCGACCGCCUGGGGAGUACGGCCGCAAGGUUAAAACUCAAAUGAAUUGACGGGGGCCCGCACAAGCGGUGGAGCAUGUGGUUUAAUUCGAUGCAACGCGAAGAACCUUACCUGGUCUUGACAUCCACGGAAGUUUUCAGAGAUGAGAAUGUGCCUUCGGGAACCGUGAGACAGGUGCUGCAUGGCUGUCGUCAGCUCGUGUUGUGAAAUGUUGGGUUAAGUCCCGCAACGAGCGCAACCCUUAUCCUUUGUUGCCAGCGGUCCGGCCGGGAACUCAAAGGAGACUGCCAGUGAUAAACUGGAGGAAGGUGGGGACGACGUCAAGUCAUCAUGGCCCUUACGACCAGGGCUACACACGUGCUACAAUGGCGCAUACAAAGAGAAGCGACCUCGCGAGAGCAAGCGGACCUCAUAAAGUGCGUCGUAGUCCGGAUUGGAGUCUGCAACUCGACUCCAUGAAGUCGGAAUCGCUAGUAAUCGUGGAUCAGAAUGCCACGGUGAAUACGUUCCCGGGCCUUGUACACACCGCCCGUCACACCAUGGGAGUGGGUUGCAAAAGAAGUAGGUAGCUUAACCUUUGGGAGGGCGCUUACCACUUUGUGAUUCAUGACUGGGGUGAAGUCGUAACAAGGUAACCGUAGGGGAACCUGCGGUUGGAUCACCUCCUUACCUUAAAGAAGC